GAUGAAGAACGCAGCGAAAUGCGAUACGUAGUGUGAAUUGCAGAAUUCAGUGAAUCAUCGAAUCUUUGAACGCACAUUGCGCCCGCCAGUAUUCUGGCGGGCAUGCCUGUUCGAGCGUCAUUUCAACCAUCAAGCCCCCGGCUUGUGUUGGGGACCUGCGGCUGCCGCAGGCCCUGAAAACCAGUGGCGGGCUCGCUAGUCACUCCGAGCGUAGUAAUACAUCUCGCUCAGGGCGUGCUGCGGGUUCCGGCCGUUAAAAAAGCCUUAUUUACCCAAGGUUGACCUCGGAUCAGGUAGGAAGACCCGCUGAACUUAAGCAUAUCAAUAAGCGGAGGA
rnacentral:misc_RNA from 1 species